rnacentral:tRNA from 1 species
CGGGGUGUGGCCUAAUCUGGUAUGGCGCUUGCUUUGGGAGCAAGAGACUGUAGGUUCAAAUCCUAUCGCCCCGA